CCUACGGGAGGCAGCAGUGAGGAAUAUUGGACAAUGGGUGGAAGCCUGAUCCAGCGACGCCGCGUGAAGGAUGAAGGUCUUCGGAUUGUAAACUUCUUUUGAAGGGGAUGAAUGGCCUGGUGAAUAGCCAGGUAUGACAGUACUCUUCGAAUAAGCCACGGCUAACUACGUGCCAGCAGCCGCGGUAAU
rnacentral:rRNA from 1 species